rnacentral:misc_RNA from 1 species
GAUGAAGAACGCAGCGAAAUGCGAUAAGUAAUGUGAAUUGCAGAAUUCAGUGAAUCAUCGAAUCUUUGAACGCAUCUUGCGCUCCUUGGUAUUCCGAGGAGCAUGCCUGUUUGAGUGUCAUUAAAUUCUCAACUACACUGAUUUUUUUUGGUUGGUGUAGAUUGGAUUUGGGGGUAUUUUUUGCGGGCUUUGUAAAAUGAAGUCGGCUCCCCUGAAAUGUAUUAGUGGUAUCUGAGCUACUACAGGUGUGAUAACUAUCUAUGCCUUGGUAUGCUGCAUGAAACAGAUUGCGCCGCUUCUAACAAGUGGGAAACACAAUUUUGAUGAAUUUGACCUCAAAUCAGGUAGGACUACCCGCUGAACUUAAGCAUAUCAAUAAGCGGAGGA